CUCUCAAAAGACUCAAAAAAAUACAAAAAAAUUAGAAAUUGAUAAUAAAAAAUGUCCAUAAAAAAUAAUUGAUAAUAACAAACAGAAAAAAGAAUUGUUCAACACAGAAUUCAGAGCUGGGGUAUUGGUUAGGUAGGGCGGCGGCGAGGCAGAUGAGAAGAAAUGACUGAUUUGGAACGCUCCAGUUCCAUACGGGAGCCAGAGCUUGCCUAAAAAUGGCUACUCACUCGGCAGCAAAGAAGAAGAAGAGAUGAAUAUUUGGGAACCUAGGGCGGAGCAGCAGAGGAGAAUAAAUGGAGAAGAUUGGGCG
rnacentral:misc_RNA from 1 species